AUGCAACUAGUAGUAAUAGUAUAUAACUAUAUACCUUGCGAAACAGAGGAGUCACCCAAAUCUGGAUUUAGGUCUGGAUCAACUCUAAUUUUCAAGCUUUGCUCCACAUCUUGUGCUAGCUGCUCUGCACAUUUAGCAGCCAUAUCAUAUGUUUCAUCGGACUCUGCGGCGCGAGCAGCUAUGUGGAUAAACAUUCUACACAAGUCCUUACAAAAGUUCGACAUUCUUGCUUUUAGACCUUCAUGCAGAUUGCGAUUGCUUGUUAUCUCUAGCACUUUCACAUCAAUUUUCCAUCUUUUCAGUAUAUAUUUUUCAGGGAUAUGCUUGAUAUUAUUAAUAUCAAGUAUCUUUAAGCAAUGA
rnacentral:rRNA from 1 species